rnacentral:rRNA from 1 species
CAGUCGCCGCGGGAAUACGUAGGGUGCAAGCGUUAAUCGGAAUUACUGGGCGUAAAGCGUGCGCAGGCGGUUCGCUAAGACAGAUGUGAAAUCCCCGGGCUUAACCUGGGAACUGCAUUUGUGACUGGCGGGCUAGAGUAUGGCAGAGGGGGGUAGAAUUCCACGUGUAGCAGUGAAAUGCGUAGAGAUGUGGAGGAAUACCGAUGGCGAAGGCAGCCCCCUGGGCCAAUACUGACGCUCAUGCACGAAAGCGUGGGGAGCAAACAGGAUUAGAUACCCGGGUAGUCCUUGUCUCUUAUAC